GGCAGUUUGGCGGAGUGGUCUAACGCGCUAGACUGUGCAUCUAGUCCUUUCGAGGGCGCAGGUUCGAACCCUGCAACUGUCG
rnacentral:tRNA from 1 species